rnacentral:lncRNA from 1 species
GAUCCUACGGAGGUGGAUCGGGAUCCUACGGAGGGGAUUCGGGCUCCUUCGGGGGAUCCCGGCAGCGCCCCGGCUACAAGAACCCCGGGAUCCCCUUCGUGCCGGGGCUGCGGCACCCCGCCCGCAUCGGGGGGCGCCUGCCCAUCCGCCGGGGGCCGGGAUCCGGUCCGGGAUCCGGUCAGGGGUCCGGUCAGGGGUACAGCUGGGGAUCCGGUCAGGGGUAUGGUCAGGGGUACGGUCAGGGGUACGGUCAGGGAUCCGGUCAGGGAUCCGGUCAGGGAUCCGGUCAGGGAUACAGCCAGGGAUCCGGCCAGGGAUCCGGUCAGGGAUCCGGUCAGGGAUCCGGUCGGGGAUCCGGUCAGGGAUCCGGUCAGGGAUCCGGUCAGGGAUACAACCAGGGAUCCGGUCAGGGCUACAGCCAGGGAUCCGGUCAGGGAUCCGGUCAGGGAUCCAGGGCCCAGCCAGGAUCCAGCUCCGGGGAAGGGUACGGGUGUGGGGGGUGUUAGAAAUAGGGGAGGGGUCCCAGAGGGUCCCAAAAGAUCCCAGAGGAUCCCAGAGGGUCCAUUGGGGAUGGGGAUGGGUGUGGGGGGUGCCGGAAAUAGGGGAGGGGUCCCAGAGGGUCCCAAAGAUUCCAGAGGGUCCCGGAGGAUCCCAAAUAAAGCCUCGGAUC